UACGUAGGGACCAAGCGUUGUCCGGAAUCAUUGGGCGUAAAGAGCGUGUAGGCGGCCUGUUAAGUCUUGCGUGAAAUCUCGGGGCUCAACCCCGAGCGGUCGUGAGAAACUGGCAGGCUAGAGUGCGGGAGAGGAGAGUGGAAUUCCUGGUGUAGCGGUGAAAUGCGCAGAUAUCAGGAGGAACACCGGUGGUGUAGACGGCUUUCUGGACCGUAACUGACGCUGAGACACGAAAGCGUGGGUAGCAAACAGG
rnacentral:rRNA from 1 species